UAGGGANUCUUCCACAAUGGGCGAAAGCCUGAUGGAGCAACGCCGCGUGUGUGAUGAAGGCUUUAGGGUCGUAAAGCACUGUUGUAUGGGAAGAAAUGCUAGAAUAGGGAAUGAUUCUAGUUCGACGGUACCAUACCAGAAAGGGACGGCUAAAUACGUGCCAGCAGCCGCGGUAAUACGUAUGUCCCGAGCGUUAUCCGGAUUUAUUGGGCGUAAAGCGAGCGCAGACGGUUGAUUAAGUCUGAUGUGAAAGCCCGGAGCUCAACUCCGGAAUGGCAUUGGAAACUGGUUAACUUGAGUGUUGUAGAGGUAAGUGGAGCUCCAUGUGUAGCGGUGGAAUGCGUAGAUAUAUGGAAGAACACCAGUGGCGAAGGCGGCUUACUGGACAACAACUGACGUUGAGGCUCGAAAGUGUGGGUAGCAAACAGGAUUAGAUACCCUGGUAGUCCACACCGUAAACGAUGAAUACUAGGUGUUAGGAGGUUUCCGCCUCUUAGUGCCGAAGCUAACGCAUUAAGUAUUCCGCCUGGGGAGUACGACCGCAAGGUUG
rnacentral:rRNA from 1 species